UGCGUAGGCGGUUUGGUAAGUCAGAUGUGAAAUUCCUGGGCUCAACCCUGAAACUGCGUUUGAUACUGCCUGACUAGAGUACUGGAGAGGAGACUGGAAUUCACGGUGUAGCAGUGAAAUGCGUAGAUAUCGUGAGGAAGACCAGUGGCGAAGGCGAGUCUCUGGACAGUAACUGACGCUGAGGCACGAAGGCUAGGGGAGCAAACG
rnacentral:rRNA from 1 species